rnacentral:rRNA from 1 species
AUUGAACGCUGGCGGCAGGCCUAACACAUGCAAGUCGAGCGAGCGGCGGACGGGUGAGUAAUGUCUGGGAAACUGCCUGAUGGAGGGGGAUACUACUGGAAACGGUAGCUAAUACCGCAUACCAUCAGAUGUGCCCAGAUGGGAUUAGCUAGUAGGGGGGGUAACGGCUCACCUGGGCGACGAGCCCUAGCUGGUCUGCGAGGAUGCCCAGCCACACGGGACAUGUGACACGGUACAGACUCCGCCGGGAGGCAGCAGUGGGGAAUAUUGCACAAUGGGCGCAAGCCUGAUGCAGCCAUGCCGCGUGUGUGAAGAAGGCCUUCGGGUUGUAAAGCACUUUCAGCGGGGAGGCGUUACCCGCAGAAGAAGCACCGGCUAACUCCGUGCCAGCAGCCGCGGUAAUAC